AUGUUUGGGGUGGAAUUCAUGAAAAAUCGGAUCCGUUCCGCCAGUGCAUGGAGCCUGAUCAUCACCUCGUUUCUUUGUGGCACACAUCCAUUGGAGCUGCUUUUUAGAAAUACAGGAUGGAGAUUCAGGUGCCCUCCUUCAGACCCUGUUUCCCCGGUAGUUACUUUGGUAGAAUCGGUGUUCUUUCCUACCUGCUCGUCUUUCAGGUGCCCUAAUGGUUUCUCUGUGCCUCUGGUUCUCUUUCAGUGGGUUGUCCUCUGGCCACACAGCAUCCCUUAUGAGAGCCUUGGGCUCCUGGGCUCGUUCACUCAGUACCUAGUGGACCAUCAUCACACCCUCCUGCACAACAGAUUUACAGGUGUUGCUGGGGCAUAGUAGGCUGAGCCUCUACCUGCAUCACCAGCAUCCCAGUUCCAGUCCCAACUGCUCCUCUUCCGAUGUGGCUCUGUGCUGUGGCCUGGGAAAGCAGUGGAAGAUGACCCAAGUGCUUGGGCCCCAGCACCCACAUGGGAGACCAGGAAGAAGCUCCAGGCUCCAGGCUUUGAAUUGGCCCAGCUCUUGCUGUUUUGGCCAUUUGGAGAGGAAACCAGCAGAUGGAAGACUUUUCUCUCUGUCUCUCCCUCUCUCUGUCUGUAACUCUGUCUCUCAAAUAAAGAAAUAAAACCUUUAAAAUUUUAUUUAUUU
rnacentral:lncRNA from 1 species